CUUAAGUUUCAUCCCAUUGUGACACUGGCUUGAAGUCCAAGAUCUUGUCAUCAAAAUCAGACCCAAAUGCAGAUGAGGAUCUUGGAGUGUAGUUUCCCAGAUUUGCAAUUUGGACAAGACUCAUGGGGACAGAAUGCCUCUGAUCUAUGUGGCAUCAGCUGGGAGGGCUAGACUUUAGAUUGGAGAAUACACUUGAAGAUGGCUUACUCACAUGGCUGAUAAACACCCAGAAAUGGAAUUGCUGGAUUGUAUGGUAGUUCUGUUUUUAAGUUUUGGAGGAACUUCCAUACUGUUUUCCACUGCAGCUGCAACAAUUUUCAUUCCCACAGGGCAUGAGGGCUCCAUUUUCUCCUCAUUCUUGCCAGCACUUGUUAUUUUUCUUUUUGAUAAUAGCCGUUCUAACAGGUGUGAGAUGAUAUCUCAUUAUGGUUAUGAUUUGCACUUCCCUGAUGAUUAGUGAUGAAAAGAUGAACAUCUUUCAUGAGCCUGCUGGACAUCAGUGUGUCUUUGCUGGAAAAAUGUUUGUUAACAUCCUCUGCCAUA